rnacentral:rRNA from 1 species
UACGGGGGGAGCAAGCGUUGUUCGGAUUUACUGGGCGUAAAGGGCGCGUAGGCGGUCAGCACAAGUCAGUUGUGAAAUCUCCGGGCUUAACUCGGAAAGGUCAACUGAUACUGUGCGACUAGAGUGCAGAAGGGGCAACUGGAAUUCUCGGUGUAGCGGUGAAAUGCGCAGAUAUCAGGAAGAACACCCGUGGCGAAGGCGGCUCUCUGGAACGCAACUGACGCUGAGACGCGAAAGCGUGGGGGGCAAACAGG